rnacentral:rRNA from 1 species
UAAGGAAUAUUGGUCAAUGGAGGCAACUCUGAACCAGCCAUGCCGCGUGCAGGAAGAAGGCCCUAUGGGUCGUAAACUGCUUUUGAACAAGAGAAAACCCCGGUACGUGUACUGGGUUGAUAGUAUUGUUAGAAUAAGCAUCGGCUAACUUCGUGCCAGCAGCCGCGGUAAGACGAAGGAUGCAAGCGUUAUCCGGAUUCAUUGGGUUUAAAGGGUGCGUAGGCGGACUGAUAAGUCAGUGGUGAAAUCUCUCGGCUUAACCGAGAAACUGCCAUUGAUACUGUUAGUCUAGAGUACAGAUGAUGUGGGCGGAAUAUGACAUGUAGUGGUGAAA